GCCAGGCAUGGUGGCGUGUGCCUGUAAUCCCAGCUACGUGGGAGGCUGAGGCAGGAGAAUUGCUUGAACCCAGGACAUGGAGGUUGCAGUGAGCCGAGAUAGCGCCACUGCACUCCAGCCUGGAUGACACAGUGAGACUCUGUCUCAG
rnacentral:sRNA from 1 species